CGUUCUUUUCGUUUCGUCGUCGGCGACCGGCGCGAGGUGAGUAACACGUAUCCAACCUGCCCUUUACUCGGGGAUAGCCUUUCGAAAGAAAGAUUAAUACCCGAUAGCAUAAUGAUUCCGCAUGGUUUCAUUAUUAAAGGAUUCCGGUAAAGGAUGGGGAUGCGUUCCAUUAGGUUGUUGGUGGGGUAACGGCCCACCAAGCCUUCGAUGGAUAGGGGUUCUGAGAGGAAGGUCCCCCACAUUGGAACUGAGACACGGUCCAA
rnacentral:rRNA from 1 species